rnacentral:rRNA from 1 species
GCGUUCCGUAAGCUGCGAAGGUGCCUUGUAAAGGGUGCUGGAGGUAUCGGAAGUGCGAAUGCUGACAUGAGUAGCGAUAAAGGGGGUGAAAGGCCCCCUCGCCGUAAGCCCAAGGUUUCCUACGCAACGUUCAUCGGCGUAGGGUGAGUCGGCCCGUAAGGUGAGGCAGAAAUGCGUAGCUGAUGGGAAGCAGGUCAAUAUUCCUGCACCAUUGUUAGAUGCGAUGGGGGGACGGAUCGCGGAAGGUUGUCCGGGUGUUGGAAGUCCCGGUCGCUGCAUUGGAGAAGGCGCUUAGGCAAAUCCGGGCGCGUAAUUCAAGGGUGUGGCGCGAGCUCCUUCGGGAGCGAAGCAAUUGGAAGUGGUUCCAAGAAAAGCUCUAAGCUUCAGUCUAACGAUGACCGUACCGCAAACCGACACAGGUGGGCGAGAUGAGUAUUCUAAGGCGCUUGAGAGAACUCGGGACGAAGGAACUCGGCAAAUUGGUACCGUAACUUCGGGAUA